rnacentral:rRNA from 1 species
UACGGAGGGUGCAAGCGUUAUCCGGAUUCACUGGGUUUAAAGGGCGCGCAGGCGGCUUAGUAAGUCAGUGGUGAAAGCCUUAAGCUUAACUUGGGAACUGCCAUUGAUACUAUUAGUCUUGAAUGUUGUUGAGGUUUGCGGAAUGGGUCAUGUAGCGGUGAAAUGCAUAGAUAUGACCCGGAACACCUAUUGCGAAGGCAGCAGGCUAAACAAAUAUUGACGCUGAGGCUCGAAAGCGUGGGGAUCAAACAGG